UGGGGAAUAUUGCGCAAUGGCCGAAAGGCUGACGCAGCGACGCCGAGUGGGGGAUGAAGCAUUUCGGUGUGUAAACCCCUGUUGCCCGGGACGAACAAGCAGAUUUUUCUGCUCUGACGGUACCGGGUGAGGAAGCACCGGCUAACUCCGUGCCAGCAGCCGCGGUAAUACGGAGGGUGCGAGCGUUGUCCGGAAUCACUGGGCGUAAAGGGCGCUUAGGCGGUCUGCUAAGCGUGCGGUGAAAGCCCGGGGCUCAACCCCGGGUCUGCCUUGCGAACUGGUGGACGAGAUCACUGUAGAGGCAGGUGGAAUUCCGGGUGUAGCGUUGGAAUGCGUAGAGAUCCGGAAGAACACCGG
rnacentral:rRNA from 1 species